CACGUAGGGCGCAAGCGUUGUCCGGAAUUAUUGGGCGUAAAGAGCUCGUAGGCGGUCUGUUACGUCUGCUGUGAAAACCCGGGGCUUAACCCUGGACCUGCAUCGGGUACGGGCAGACUAGAGUGCGGUAGGGGAGAUCGGAAUUCCUGGUGUAGCGGUGAAAUGCGCAGAUAUCAGGAGGAACACCGGUGGCGAAGGCGGAUCUCUGGGCCGUAACUGACGCUGAGGAGCGAAAGCAUGGGGAGCGAACAGG
rnacentral:rRNA from 1 species